GUAGGUGAACCUGCGGAGGGAUCAUUACAAGUGACCCCGGUUUACCACCGGGAUGUUCAUAACCCUUUGUUGUCCGACUCUGUUGCCUCCGGGGCGACCCUGCCUUCGGGCGGGGGCUCCGGGUGGACACUUCAAACUCUUGCGUAACUUUGCAGUCUGAGUAAACUUAAUUAAUAAAUUAAAACUUUUAACAACGGAUCUCUUGGUUCUG
rnacentral:misc_RNA from 1 species